ensembl:snRNA U6 U6 spliceosomal RNA
GUGCUUGCUUCGGUAGCCCAUAUACUAAGGUUGGAAUGCUAUAGAGAGAAUUAGUGUGAUCCCUGUGCAAUGAUGACAUGAAACUCCAUGAAGCACUGAAUAUUUUU